rnacentral:rRNA from 1 species
AUGCAUAGGAAUCUGCCCGGUAGUGGGGGAUAACGUGGGGAAACCCACGCUAAUACCGCAUACGUCCUACGGGAGAAAGCAGGGGAUCUUCGGACCUUGCGCUAUCGGAUGAGCCUAUGUCGGAUUAGCUAGUUGGUAAGGUAACGGCUUACCAAGGCGACGAUCCGUAGCUGGUCUGAGAGGAUGAUCAGCCACACUGGGACUGAGACACGGCCCAGACUCCUACGGGAGGCAGCAGUGGGGAAUAUUGGACAAUGGGCGAAAGCCUGAUCCAGCCAUGCCGCGUGUGUGAAGAAGGCUUUCGGGUUGUAAAGCACUUUCAGCGAGGAAGAAAGCCUCUGGGUUAAUACCCCAGAGGAAGGACAUCACUCGCAGAAGAAGCACCGGCUAACUCCGUGCCAGCAGCCGCGGUAAUACGGAGGGUGCGAGCGUUAAUCGGAAUUACUGGGCGUAAAGCGCGCGUAGGUGGCUUGGCACGCCGGUUGUGAAAGCCCCGGGCUCAACCUGGGAACGGCAUCCGGAACGGCCAGGCUAGAGUGCAGGAGAGGAAGGUAGAAUUCCCGGUGUAGCGGUGAAAUGCGUAGAGAUCGGGAGGAAUACCAGUGGCGAAGGCGGCCUUCUGGCCUGACACUGACACUGAGGUGCGAAAG